GUUACAGCCGCCGCGGUAAAACGUAGGAGACAAACGUUAUCCGGAGUUACUGGGCGUAAAGGGCGUGUAGGUGGUUUCGUAAGUCUGGCGUGAAAUUUUUCGGCUUAACCGGGAAAGGUCGUCGGAUACUGCGAGGCUAGAGGACGGUAGAGGCGUGUGGAAUUCCGGGUGUAGUGGUGAAAUGCGUAGAGAUCCGGAGGAACACCAGUGGCGAAGGCGACACGCUGGGCCGUACCUGACACUGAUGCGCGACAGCAUGGGGAGCAAACAGGAUUAGAUACCCCUGUAGUCC
rnacentral:rRNA from 1 species